rnacentral:lncRNA from 1 species
UUUCAAUCAAUAUUUUUAGUUUCCAGGUAUGUACAAUGUCCAUCUUGAAUUAAAUCAGUUUUGUGUUUAAAAAUCUGCAUUUGAAACUUGUUUGUUUAGCUGAUUUCUGGUGUUUGGUUUGGAAAUCAUGAUUGUUUUGGAUUUAAAGAUAAUUAGACCAUGUUUUAGUAUUAGAUGAUUGCCAAUCUUAAAACACGAAAUCUGUGAAGUUUUGCUACAUUCAUAUGUCAAAACUAACAUCUUUGGAUUACUAAAUCAGUAUGUGUAUGCACUUGUGAAACCUAUGUCCAAAGCUUUCCUCCUAUGGCAACAUAACAGGGAAGUGAAUCUGACCCUUUAAAUGGUCAGAUUCAUCCCUUAAGAGUGCAUAAUAAUCUGGAUUUUUUUUAGUAGUAUAUGUUUAUAUUGUUCCCCUUCCCCUCUCUUCCCCUUUACUGAAAUGGGAACCAUGGAGUAAAUCAUGGAUUGGGAAUCAUUGUUUGUCUAUAAGGCUGACCCUCAAUAUGGUUAGACUUAUGGACACAUUGUCUUUUCCUUCUUACUCAUUUUGUGUUAGGAUCAACUUGGUUACAUUACUCUAGUAGCAUGUUGAAUACUUCACUUAGCUUAAGUUCAUUUAAUGAUUAAGAGGAUGCAGAAUGUUUGAAUCUGAACACUUGUCUAGCAGUUGUUGCCCUUUAGUUAAUGUUAAGGUUACAUUGGUUCAAGACUCUUAUGUAAAUUAAUGGCUAUUAUUUGCUUGUAUUGGCAUGUGAUAUGGCCAUAAGGCCAAGAGGUUUUCAAAGCUGAAGCUGAAAUGUGAGAGGAUAGCUCCAUAGCUGCUCCCUUGCAAAUACACACGAUGUAAGAGGAAACUUAAGGACAAAAAGGGAAUCAGAAUUAGAAUAUUCUUGAGCCCAUUCAAGCAGUACUAUAAGUUGUGAAAGAUAGGUUUUUUUGUUGUUGCUCUAUUCUAGACAUGAAAGUGUUGUAAAAGGACUUUCUAUAACGUUAAAAUUCAUUCUUUUUUUG